GGGUGUGGUAGUUUUGACCAGGAAGUGAGUUUUCAGGAAGUUCUAGAACAGAACCAAUUAAGAACAGACAUCUCCGUGGACCUACAGGGUUAAAUAUCAGGAGAUCCUGAGAAACUUCCUCUUUCCUUCCGGCCUCGAAGGAGCUCUGCUCGGCCUUGAAAUCUGACACCAUAAGCUGCAACCGAGAGACAGAAGACUUGGGCAACCUGAAGCUUUCAGAAUUCCAACCCUUUCCCUGAGAGAGAGAGGAAGGAACAUGUAGAGAGACAGCAUGAUAAGUCAGAGAAAGAACUGAUAAAGAUCAUUGGAAGAAGACACUUCUGACUGGACUUCUCUGGAUGUAAACCAUGGAAAUUGGACUAACGUGAUAAAUGAUGUGGGAUAAUUCAUGUUUUUAAUGUAUGUAUAAUAAAAAUCAAGUUAUACCCUUUGAAAUAAACAGUAAAAUCAUACAAGGCUGGGGAGGGAGGUAGACUGAUUCGGAAUCGAAAACAACCUUGCCCGGAACUGGAGACGACCAAAUUUACAAGAGAAAAGGAGAGGGGGUCCGAGGAAGAUGGAUCCUGACACAGAUGGAGCUUAAACGACCCAACCAUUACCACCGAGAUGGGCCGUGCUCUGCCACCAGGGACACGCAUGUCAAUAUGUGAUUCCCAAAAGUCAUACCUAAUAUUCAUCUCCCCAGGAAGGACUACUCAACUGACCGAAUGGCAAAGAUGAAUCUCCGUGAAUACGAAAGAAAGCUGAUUCAACCAACCAAGCGGCAAGGAUGGACCACUAUGAAUACGAGGGAAAACUGAAGGGACAAAGAAAGCAUGAAAUAAUGCUCUGUCCCAACUGUAUAAAAACUGGGUUCACGGAACCAGCAGUGUGAACAGGGGGGCUACGGCGCGAUAGAGGUCUCAGCUAAGGUCCACCCAGUGCCGAUCCUGGGACUCGACACUGAUUCCUUGAUUGUUGGCUUACCCGAAAUUUUGUCCAAUUAUUUUUCUAAAAUAAAUAAAAUAAUUUAUUAAUUUGGAAUUAGCUUGGCAUUUAUUACAAACAUAUCCCUUCAAAUCAUGGGAAGAUAUGCAUUUAGGGAGAUGUGCAAAUUUGUGUGUAGAUUUUGAACAAAGGUGUGUGUGAUAGACUAAGUAAUAUUGAUCUUAUGAGAUGUUUGAACAGAGAUAGAGAUAAGUCUAUUGUGCUGGUGAAGAAGUGAGAAGAUAUCUCUGUUCCCUGAGAAGAAGAAUCCUUUGUUCUUUUGAGCUGUGCAUCUUUAAAAGGUGACACCUUAAUAUGCAAAAGUCUAGACCCAUGACCCAUAAGCAGCCUGGGAAACUGCUAAUGGGAGGGGUCACAGAAGCAGGGUUUUUUACUGGGCGGCUGUUUUUUGUGGCAGUUAAAACCCACAAGAAAACAGUGGGAAAAUUCAUGGGACAUCAAGAGAGACUCCUCUCCUAAAGUGAUGGAAGAUUAUGUUUAAAUAGUGAAACUGACUGAAAAUCAUAGUUUUGUCUCUCUAUGUUGGUUGUGGGAAAAUGAACAGUUUGUGGGGAAGGGAGAAGGGUUUUGAAAGUGUGAUAAAUGCAGUGGAAUAAUUCGGGUUAUGGUGUAUAUAAAAUGUGAUGUAAAAAAAUGUUUUGUAAAAUAAAAUGUACAAGCAGGUCGGGAAUGAAGCCGAGGAAUUUUAGGAUGGACAACACCCAAAGCCAGGAAUCCAGGAGAAACAAUACCCCUACCGGGAACUCGGGAAGUGCAACAUUAACACCAGAAAAAGAGGGUGGACCGAGAUCAGAAUCGGUCCUCCAGGGCGGUGAAACUGUGAAGCACCCAGCUAUCAGGGUUGAUGUGGAUCACCCAGCUAUCAGGGUUGAUGUGGAUCGGGGAGAACGCCUCUUCAUUCAUGAUUUCAUCUCCCCAUUCAUGCUCCUGAGGAACUGACUUAAUAUUCAUUUUCCCUCAGAAGCCCUAUUCAGCAGACCAGACGGCAGAAAUGAAGAAGAAGGACUGAAGACAAAGAACUGUGGGGAAAUACUCUGCCACUGGCAAAAUAAACUGUAUAAAAGGGGACCCAAAAGGGACUAAAUUCGUGAACAGGGGGAGUUACGGUGCGAUAGAGGCCGUAGCAAAGGUUCACCCAGUGCCGAUCCCGGGUCUUGACACUGAACUUCCAAUUCCUGGCUUGCCUAAAAUUUUUGUUCUGUAAUUCUUUAAUUAAUAAAAAAUAUUUUAUUAAUUGGAAUUGGCUGGACAUUUAUAACAAAGGGUUCAAAUUUUCUUUUUUUUAAUUUCAAAACUUUUCUUUUUUUUUUCCCUUCCUUUAGUGUGUGUUAAUAAAACUAUCUUUCCAACUUUUAAGUUGGGCCUGUUUUGCCUUUUUCCUCCCAAAAGUCUAUCUCACAGAAAGAAAAGAGACUAGGCACAAAAACCAUCACAAAUUUGGUACACUGGCCGGGAAAGAUCAGAAUUGGCGAACGUGAAACUGCUACACCGGGUCACAUGUGGGGAUGGCUUCUGACUGGAACAUCGAUGCGACUGGAGCUGAAGGAGGCAGACUUGCAGGGGCUUGUUCUCCAAAGCUGGGGGCAGAGUGGGGAUUUGGGUUCCCUCUGUGGGUGUCUCGUGGCUGUAAAUGCGAUGGUGCCGUGGAAGGAGCAGGACCGGUUGCAGGAGCAGGGCUAGGUGCAGGAAUGGUGGCAUUGGCACUUCCUGGCUCCGGUGUAUUUCCGUAUAUGAUGUAAAAUAACAUCCGGGCAUCUGAGGUGACAUCAUCUCGUGCCCCACCCCCCGUGUUACAGUGGCAGGCAGGUGUGGCCAGCAGAGGCAGGGCUGUGAGCGUGGUCUGUGAACUGAGCCAACCAGCUCCGGGCAGGGGCAAUCCGGGCAUUUCCAUGGUGACGAGAGUUUCAGGACACCUUGUAACAUUUGGCUAAACCAAAUGUUGAAAAGGCAGGUGCCACCCGAGAAACAUUCAGAAAGAGACAAUAGGUUUACGGGAAACCGGCAGCAUCCUCGAGCACCGGGAGGAGACCCAUCAAGACACCCUCACAGAUCACCAAGGAUCAUCAUCCACAUCUCGACCAUUCAUCAGCCAUAAGGAUCUAUAGAAACUGGACAUUAACAUAUCAACUGAAAGAAAGAACUCUUUCCAGCCUGGUCGGAGAAACCCUUGAAUUUCAAUAGCUAGCCGGGAAACAAAGGGAAAUAUGGGGAAAUAUUGCCGAGGGCAGAAUAAAGUGUAUAAAAACUAAGCCCCGAACCGGGCAAAUUUGUGAACCAUAGGGGAGAUAGCAGACUGCCAGGUUCUGUAUCUCACGGUUCACCCUUGGCAUUUUCCCGGGAAAAAGACUGUCAAGUAUCUCCGCUGUUGGUGGGUUUAUCGAAAUUCUGUAAUUCGAUCUUUAUUAAUAAACCAAAUUAUUAUUUUAAUUGGAAUAUCGUAUUGGCAUUUAUAACAUUCAC